GUGGGGAAUAUUGGGCAAUGGGCGAAAGCCUGACCCAGCAACGCCGCGUGAAGGAAGAAGGUUUUCGGAUCGUAAACUUCUAUCCUUGGUGAAGAUAAUGACGGUAGCCAAGAAGGAAGCCCCGGCUAACUACGUGCCAGCAGCCGCGGUAAUACGCAGUGGGCAAGCGUUGUCCGGCAUGAUUGGGCGUAAAGGGCGCGUAGGCGGCCCGGUAAGUCUGAAGUGAAAGUCCUGCUUUUAAGGUAGGAAUUGCUUUGGAUACUGUCGGGCUUGAGUGCAGGAGAGGUAAGCGGAAUUCCCGGUGUAGCGGUGAAAUGCGUAGAGAUCGGGAGGAACACCAGUGGCGAAGGCGGCUUACUGGACUGUAACUGACGCUGAGGCGCGAAAGUGUGGGGAGCAAACAGGAUUAGAUACCCGGGUAGUCC
rnacentral:rRNA from 1 species